UCUCUUUGUUUAGAUUGAUCAUUGAGCUUUAUCUCCUGAGCAAUUCUUAAGCAUUACGAGCACUACUGACUCCCCACUGCACAAUAUCCAACCAUCUAUUCAGAGCACGACCUGCAUUUUUCUCUGCAGCUGAACGUUUGGUUUUUCGCUUUCUCCAAGCAGCAGUCCUUCUGUUUUGUUCUUCCCACCCCACCCCACCCCAUCUCUUCCCAACCCCCCACCC